rnacentral:rRNA from 1 species
GACCCACGAGUUAAUAACUGUAUCAUUUUAACUUAUUUAAACUUUAAUAGCAAUUAAAAUAUUUUUAUACAAAAGAAAGACAACAAGACCCUAUUAAACUUAACUAUGUUAAACUGGGGUAGUUAUUCAAUAAAACCUUUUAUCCCACAAUUGAUCCAAUUCUAUUGAUACUUGAACAAGUUACUAUAGGGAUAACAGCAUUAUAAUUAAUUAUAGUUCAUAUAAAAUUAACUAUUGUGACCUCGAUGUUGAAUUAAUUAUCAAUAAAAAGCAAAAUUUUUAAAAGAAAGUCUGUUCGACUUUUAAAAUUUUACAUGAUUUGAGUUCAGACCGGCGCAAGCCAGGUCAGUUUAUAUCUUCUAUUAAUAUAAUUUAGUACGAAAGGACCAAUUAAAUUUAAUUAUUAUUAAUUUGGCAGAAUAAUGCAUUAGAAUUAGAAUCUAAAUAAACACUAUUACAUUUAUUUCAAUUAUUAUUUCCUUAAUUAGCAUCCUAUUAAGAGUAGCUUUUUACACAACUUUAGAACGCAAAAUACUCAGAUAUAUUCAAAUUCGUAAAGGACCUAACAAAGUAGGGCUAUCAGGUCUAUUACAACCUUUCAGAGACGCUAUCAAACUUUUUAAUAAAACUACUAUCAUAAAUAAUUUUUCAAAUAUUAUACUAUCUACAACUUCCCCUUUUAUAGUAUUUUUAUUAAGUCUAAUAAUUUGACCUUUUCUUCCUUUAAGAAAACAAGGUAUCAUCGAUAAUUCUUUUAGCACUUUAACUUUUCUUUUAAUUUCAAGAUUAAAUGUAUAUGCACUU